rnacentral:lncRNA from 1 species
UCUCCUUCCUAACCAUAAUGUAAAUAUCUGUUUCUUAGGUGACCUCCAGGCUGAGAACCGCUGCUCUAGAGCAAUAUGGAAAGAUUUCCUGUGUGCAGUAUCCUCCAUGAAAUGAUCAGGCUGCUGAACUGAACAGAAACUUCAGGUCUGUGCCACGGACUUCAUCUGCUAACGAACUGGCGUAUCCGCACUGCCGUGGAACGUCUGCAGUGUUGGAGCAGCACUGUUACAGCAGUAAAAACUAUUCGGCUUUCUGUAGGGACUGGGUAAAUAAAUCCUGGUGUGUUCUUGUGAUGAAACUUCACAUACUUCAUAGGAAGAAUGGAGGGCAGCAAUGUUACCACUGUGAAAUCCUCCUUGAGAAGUACUUUAAGUGAGAAUGAGAAAUUUGUAUGCAACAUAUUCCUACUGGGUUUAAAAACUAAGACUCCUGGGGAAGACUACAAACUAUUGUACAACUGGUGCCCAUUUCUCGAAGUGACACUUCUGAAGCACCAAGCGUUGGCUCAGAUCAGUGAACCCCUUGACUUCUGGUCUGUUACUUAGAUUCUAAUAGUUUACAUAUUUCAAUUUUUGCUUAUAAUUACACAAAUUACUAUCGCAGAUGAGAGAGAAACGAUCCUAGAUUGAUUGCGUUUCACUCCAGGCUCAGGCAAGUUGUAAGGCUUCCUUAAUUGUCAUCUAAACACACUUUUAAUUGUGACUUAACUCCGGAAAAUAAGAUUCUUUGGAAUUGGAGAAAUUCCCUUGAUUUAUGCAUAGAGUUUUCAUGUGCCCUUUGAAAUGCCUUAUUCAAAUUAGUAAGUAAUCAAAUUGCCAAGUUAUGUUUAUAUAACUUGUAGUUCUAAUUAGUUUAGGAUGUAGCUCAUUUGUGUGAUGCCACUGUACAAGCCAAAAGUAGUGUUGUAAUUUUUAAUUAAAUGGUUGCCUCAGAUGAGAGCUACUGAAUUUUUUUAACCUUUUACUUUUUGAAUUUGAAUUCUCCCUGUUUACUCUAGAGGACCAUAUUCUGUGUAUCUGUUUCUUGAAUUUUGCCAUCCCCCACCAGGAGUUAUCAGAGUGAUGUUGCGUGAGGG